UAUAUACGGUUAUUCCCAAUC
rnacentral:piRNA from 1 species